rnacentral:rRNA from 1 species
GACCCCAUGCCGAACUCAGAAGUGAAACGCCGUAGCGCCGAUGGUAGUGUGGGGUCUCCCCAUGCGAGAGUAGGGAACUGCCUGGC